GACAGAGGGGGCAAGCGUUGCUCGGAAUUACUGGGCGUAAAGGGCGCGUAGGCGGGCUGGCAAGUCGGUCGUGAAAGCCUUCGGCUCAACCGAAGAACGUCGGCCGAUACUGCCGUUCUUGAGGGAUGCAGAGGAGACUGGAAUUCCCGGUGUAGCGGUGAAAUGUGUAGAGAUCGGGAGGAACACCGGUGGCGAAGGCGGGUCUCUGGGCAUCUCCUGACGCUGAGGCGCGAAAGCGUGGGGAGCAAACGGG
rnacentral:rRNA from 1 species